AUUGAACGCUGGCGGCAUGCCUUACACAUGCAAGUCGAACGGCAGCACGGGGCAACCUGGUGGCGAGUGGCGAACGGGUGAGUAAUGCAUCGGAACGUACCUUUCAGUGGGGGAUAACGUAGCGAAAGUUACGCUAAUACCGCAUAUUCUGUGAGCAGGAAAGCAGGGGAUCGCAAGACCUUGCGCUGAUUGAGCGGCCGAUGUCAGAUUAGCUAGUUGGUGAGGUAAAGGCUCACCAAGGCGACGAUCUGUAGCGGGUCGGAGGGGAUGAUCCGCCAAACUGGAAGUGAGACACGGGCCAGACUCCUACGGGAGGCAGCAGUGGGGAAUUUUGGACAAUGGGGGCAACCCUGGUCCAGCCAUUCGGCGUGAGUGAAGAAGGCCUUCGGGUUGUAAAGCUCUUUCGGCCGGGAAGAAAUCGCACGGGCUAAUACCCUGUGUGGAUGACGGUACCGGAAUAAGAAGCACCGGCUAACUACGUGCCAGCAGCCGCCGUAACAC
rnacentral:rRNA from 1 species